GAUGAAGAACGUAGCGAAAUGCGAUACUUGGUGUGAAUUGCAGAAUCCCGUGAACCAUCGAGUCUUUGAACGCAAGUUGCGCCCGAAGCCAUUAGGCCGAGGGCACGCCUGCCUGGGCGUCACACGUCGUUGCCCCCCCAUCUACUCCUUCGGGAUUGCGGGGGGCGGAUGAUGGCCUCCCGUGCGCCUCGCCGCGCGGUUGGCAUAAAUGCCAAGUCCUCGGCGACGCACGCCACGACAAUCGGUGGUUGCGAAACCUCGGUUGCCCGUCGUGUGCGGUCGUCGCGCAUCGAGGGCUCGAAAAAAUUGCCGGGUUCCGGCUCGGCUUUCAACGCGACCCCAGGUCAGGCGGGGAUACCCGCUGAAUUUAAGCAUAUCAAUAAGCGGAGGA
rnacentral:misc_RNA from 1 species